AGAUGAUUCAUAAUUUACUCUUAUACCUAAGUAUUGUGACAGUGCUUAAAGGGACCGUCAACCACGAAUGACAAAAAAAGAAAAGUUCUAAACAUCCUAGCAUUUGAUGCAAUACACAGUGCUGUUGUUGAAAGGAAUAAUACUUAUUUGUUUUUAAAAAGAAAAGUUAACGAACAUUGCAGGAUGAAGUUUACAGCGAUGUUAGUCGUGCUUAUGCUGGCAAGUCUUCAGUAUGCAUCGUGUAAAAUGGACAGCACAACUGGUUAUCAUGGGUAUGAUUAUGAUGAUGAUGAUGAAGAACAUGAUUACGAUCAGCCGAAUGAUUUCUCCGUUGGAAUCUCGAAACCUGUCACGUCGCCUGUAUACAGAUUAUUUGCACAGCAAAUAUCUACAGCUACAGCCAAAAGUGGAGCCACGUGUGUUGACAACAGCAUAUUUGCGACCGUCUUCUUAGCCGCGAUCUACGCCAUCACAGCUGCCUUGGCCUAAGAAUUGGUUUCCUGUCAGCCAUUCAAUGCUGUUAAUACAAAUUACUGUAUGUGUGUAGCAAUUGGACUCGUCAAUAAUUUCACUCUGUUUUUAACGUGUUAAAAAGUGGGUUCAACAAAAUUUAACUUUCUGUAUGUUUAUAGAAAAUUAAACGUUUAAUUAAGAAAUACAAAAUAGCAUUGG